AAAAGUGUGUUUCUGGUCGACAUUUUCACCAGACAAGGAAAGGUUCUUCUCUUGAACCCUAAAUUACAAAGAAAUGCUCAAAUCAAAGGGGAAAUCAAGCUAAAAAUUGGGGCUUUUUUUAAAUUCGUGAUCACCAAGUCAUGGGGAUCACAAGUUGAAGGAUACUCGUAUCUGAAGAUGGCGAGAGUGUAACAAGUGACAGACAUGACAGAGGAACGGUCCGAAGUACGACAAGUAGAGUAUGCUCAUGAAGGACCUAAAUCGCGUGAUGACCGCGAACAAGGUUAAUGACAUGGAAAGCCCAUUACGGCAAGCAUUACCAGGUGCACGCUUUUAAAUUAAAUCGCACAAAUAGUAAUAUGCAACAAACAUGUAGAGAAUGACGGUUGCAUACGUAGGAUAAAACUUGGGAAACCUGAAUAGGAUAUCUAUUCAGGAUGAUGUUUCUAAGUGAAAACAAAUAGAAACAUGUGUUAUUCACGAUUUUGAAUAACAAGACAAUAAUAGAAAUAGUUUAUGUGAAAACUUGGACGGGAAUAAAUAUCAAAGUGAAUAAUUCUCAAUAUAAUACUAUUGAAGAAAAAAAGUAGCGAUCACAUUAACGAAUUUGAUGAUAUAAUAGCUAGGUAAAAAGGAAAACAUUUUAUAUGUUCAAAGAAUAAAACGGGUAAAACUAAUAAUUGAUAAAUAACAAUUAAAUAAAGUUUUACCAACUGAAACCAAAGAUAUGGAAAUAAACAGAGACGUUACUUACAAAGGGUGUAAUGUGAAAAUUAUAAAAAAGUCAUGUGUGUCAUGUGUUUAUCGCUUACUCUGGCCAAGUAAGUAGUGAACACAUGAUGUCAUGAACUUCUUAUGAUGGACACAUUUACGUCCGAUGUAGUAAGGAUGGGGUGAAUAGGACGAAAAAAAAAGGUACCCAAAUGAAUCAAACAAAUAAGAUGUUUGAUAAUAAACGUAAACGCAAGUCGGAGGACGGAAGCGUAUUACGUUAGGACAAUGAGCCCGAGAGAAGUGACAAAGAUCAAGGUAAAUGAAAAUACAAACCGAUUGAUAGGAAUGCUAAGGUAUAGGGAUAAAAGUUUGACUGUCACAAGUGAUGAAAUUCACACGGACAAGUCAAACGAAUUAAAUAAAGAAUAAAGGACGUGAUUGAAUAAAAGCGAUGGAUUUCGCUAAGACGACUAAAUAAGUUAAAACGAAGUCUAAAAUCAUAUUAGAAUGAUUACUUUGAAAAUGACUUCGGUAAAUAUACCCGAUAGAUGAGUAUGAUUUUAAGAAUAUGCGUAAACUAAGAGACGAGAACGCGGAUUAGAAAGUCAAAAGACUCGGAUUAUGGGUCAUGACUAAAAGACGAUAAGAUUUUGCAAAUAGAAAUUUUUGAUAAUUAUGUUCAACUAUUUUAAAGUGAACGGGUCGAACAAAGAACGAAGUUUGACGUUCAUAAGUGACGAAGUUUCACUCAAACAAGUCAAACGAGAUUAAUAAAGAAUAACGCUUGAAAAUGAAAGUAAGCGCAAGCUGAAUAAUGAAAGCGCGAAAUAUUAAUGAACCUAUGUGAUAGGCCGUAAAAGAGUAUAGAAAGGAAAACGCAAACCAGUGAAACUAGAGUGUUAAAAACAUUAAGAUAAAGAACACGGGUAACGGUUCGAAAGGAAAUAGAGGCGUAAACUGAAUAACGAUAAGAGUAGGACAAACCGACGUGCAAAUGACGGAAGAAGUCAUAGAGUCGGAAGAAUAAUUCGAAAGAAAAUAAAUGUAGCCUUAGACUACGGUCAAGGUCAAAUGAAAUACAAAAGCGAAAAUAAAUUAUUCUAAACGUAAAAAGGGUACCUUUACACCCUAAAUGUAUAUAUACAGUUGAAUAAAGAUACAAAUAAAAGAGGAUCUACGGGAUCAUCAUAACCUACGGGAUUAUAAGUAGUGUUAAAGUUUAACGGGACCAAAAAGACCUUCGGGUCACAAAUAGAAAGAAACGAAUUGUAGGGGUCUCACCUUAAAACGGUAAAAAGGUGAAAAUCUAAAUAAAUAGCCUACGAGGCUAAGUGAAAGAACCUACGGGUCAUAUGGGUUAAGCGUGGGAAUUGGUUAUAAUUCCCCGCAUUAAAUAAUAACGGAAAGGAAUAGAUCAUCGGAAGUAGCAUUCCUAGGAAUAAGAGAAAGAUGUAAGACAAAAAGGAAAUAUAAACUAAAAAAAAUUAGUUUUUAGUUAAAAGCAACGUUUUAACAAAUGUAAGUAGUAUGAGGGGAAUUAGAAAAUCUUAAACACACAUAAAGCCGGAAAUGGCAAAAUAGUAUACCCGGAUGACGGGGUAUGAAGUGACGGCGACUAAUUAGUCUAGCCGAUAAAGCUAUUCAAAGUUAGGAAAAUGUCAUGACAAAUACAAAGCGUUUGUUAACAUAAGACAAGCGCGAGAUAAACAUGUUAACAGACUAAUGAGACUAAGUGGUCAAGUGACAACUCGGUCAAAAAGGAUAAUGGAUAUAAGCUAAAAAAAUAACUGCCCGCGAGACCUUACACAAGAAAGACGUACGCGUCAAUAUAAAUGAAAACGUUAGAUUGAAAAGAACGAAUGAAUGUCUUAAAAACGAAACUAAGUUCGUUUAGUCUAAAUUUAAAGAAAUACGUAAAUAAGGUUUCGGGGACGAAACCUCUUUAAGGGGGGUAGACUUGUAACACCCCGAAAACGAGUUUGAUAGCCAAGCCACGUUAAUAUUAAUGAACGGGUGAAAUACCGUUAGUGGUAAAAUUUAACCCAGUGAAUGUUAGGAUUUAAAUAAAUAAUCCUAAAUA
rnacentral:lncRNA from 1 species